rnacentral:pre_miRNA from 1 species
AGGAGCAACAGCCCAGUGGCGGGGCCGGCUCUGGAAACCUGGAUUCAGCUCCGGCAGGAACUCCGGAGGUCUCCGUCUGCAGGGCCUGGAGGCUCCGGGGCGGG